ACAUGCAAGUCGAACGCCCCGCAAGGGGAGUGGCAGACGGGUGAGUAACGCGUGGGAACAUACCCUUUCCUGCGGAAUAGCUCCGGGAAACUGGAAUUAAUACCGCAUACGCCCUACGGGGGAAAGAUUUAUGGGGGAAGGAUUGGCCCGCGUUGGAUUAGCUAGUUGGUGGGGUAAAGGCCUACCAAGGCGACGAUCCAUAGCUGGUCUGAGAGGAUGAUCAGCCACAUUGGGACUGAGACACGGCCCAAACUCCUACGGGAGGCAGCAGUGGGGAAUAUUGGACAAUGGGCGCAAGCCUGAUCCAGCCAUGCCGCGUGAGUGAUGAAGGCCUUAGGGUUGUAAAGCUCUUUCACCGGAGAAGAUAAUGACGGUAUCCGGAGA
rnacentral:rRNA from 1 species